AAAUUUGGAUUAAUACCUCAUAGUAUAGUGAGUUGGCAUCAACACACUAUUAAAGUCACAACGGUAAAAGAUGAGCAUGCGUCCCAUUAGCUAGUUGGUAAGGUAACGGCUUACCAAGGCAACGAUGGGUAGGGGUCCUGAGAGGGAGAUCCCCCA
rnacentral:rRNA from 1 species